UACGAAGGGGGCUAGCGUUGUUCGGAAUCACUGGGCGUAAAGCGCACGUAGGCGGACUUUCAAGUCAGGGGUGAAAUCCCGGGGCUCAACCUCGGAAUUGCCUUUGAUACUGUAGGUCUCGAGUCCGGAAGAGGUGGGUGGAAUUCCUAGUGUAGAGGUGAAAUUCGUAGAUAUUAGGAAGAACACCGGUGGCGAAGGCGGCCCACUGGUCCGGUACUGACGCUGAGGUGCGAAAGCGUGGGGAGGCAAACG
rnacentral:rRNA from 1 species